UACAGAGGUCCCAAGCGUUGUUCGGAUUCACUGGGCGUAAAGGGUGCGUAGGUGGCGAGGUAAGUUUGAUGUGAAAUCUCCGGGCUUAACCCGGAAAUGGCAUUGAAUACUCUCUUGCUCGAGGUUUGGAGGGGGACUGGAAUUCUCGGUGUAGCAGUGAAAUGCGUAGAUAUCGAGAGGAACACCAGUGGCGAAGGCGGCCAACUGGGAUACACCUGACGCUGAGGCACGAAGGCGUGGGGAGCGAACGGG
rnacentral:rRNA from 1 species